rnacentral:rRNA from 1 species
UACGUCGGUGGCAAGCGUUGUCCGGAUUUACUGGGCGUAAAGAGCGCGCAGGCGGUCGUUCAAGUCGCGUGUGAAAGCCCCCGGCUCAACCGGGGAGGGUCGUCGGGGACUGAUCGGCUUGAGGGCGGUAGGGGCCGGUGGAAUUCCCGGUGUAGUGGUGAAAUGCGCAGAUAUCAGGAGGAACACCUAUGGCGAAGGCAGCUCGCUGGGACGGUACUGACGCUGAGGCGCGAAAGCGUGGGGAGCAAACAGG